rnacentral:rRNA from 1 species
AAACCGCCUAGAGGUAAACGGGUGGAUCCGCAAAAGUCGGCCCGCGGAAUUCAGCUCGGAAGGCCCGCGCCCGUGGCUUGUUUGGGAGAUCCGCUUGUGGACUCCCCGGGCGAUGGUUCGGACGCGGGUGAUCCGUGUGCACUUUCCGCGGGCAGAGCGCCACGACCGGUUCUCGGGCGGUCAGACGGCGGCUGGGAAGGUAGGUGGGCGCCUUCGCGGGCGCUGACUGUUAGAGCCCAGCCUGUCCCGAUCCGCUUGGCAAGAGGACCGAGGAGCUGCCGCCGGCGCAAGGCCGCUUCGCUCCCCUCCCGGGACGUUUACGAAUGGUGGAGACUGGGUUCUGCCCGUGUCCGCCGACCGCUUUCCGGGAUGGGGCGGGGUGAGGGAGCCUGUCGGCUGAGGGUCAGUGGCGAAUCGGUCGGCCCUCCACCCGACCCGUCUUGAA